GACGAACGCUGGCGGCGUGCUUAACACAUGCAAGUCGAACGGAAAGGCCCUGCUUUUGUGGGGUGCUCGAGUGGCGAACGGGUGAGUAACACGUGAGUAACCUGCCCUUGACUUUGGGAUAACUUCAGGAAACUGGGGCUAAUACCGGAUAGGAGCUCCUGCUGCAUGGUGGGGGUUGGAAAGUUUCGGCGGUUGGGGAUGGACUCGCGGCUUAUCAGCUUGUUGGUGGGGUAGUGGCUUACCAAGGCUUUGACGGGUAGCCGGCCUGAGAGGGUGACCGGCCACAUUGGGACUGAGAUACGGCCCAGACUCCAACGGGAGGCAGCAGUGGGGAAUAUGGCACAAUGGGCGGAAGCCUGAUGCAGCAGCGCCGCGUGCGGGAUGACGGCCUUCGGGUUGUAAACCGCUUUCGCCUGUGGCGAAGCGUGAGUGACGGUAAUGGGUAAAGAAGCACCGGCUAACUACGUG
rnacentral:rRNA from 1 species